rnacentral:misc_RNA from 1 species
GAUGAAGAACGUAGCGAAAUGCGAUACUUGGUGUGAAUUGCAGAAUCCCGUGAACCAUCGAGUCUUUGAACGCAAGUUGCGCCCGAAGCCAUUAGGCCGAGGGCACGCCUGCCUGGGCGUCACACGUCGUUGCCCCCCCAUCUACUCCUUCGGGAUUGCGGGGGGCGGAUGAUGGCCUCCCGUGCGCCUCGUCGCGCGGUUGGCAUAAAUACCAAGUCCUCGGCGACGCACGCCACGACAAUCGGUGGUUGCGAAACCUCGGUUGCCCGUCGUGUGCGGUCGUCGCGCAUCGAGGGCUCGAAAAAAUUGCCGGGCUCCGGCUCGGCUUUCAACGCGACCCCAGGUCAGGCGGGGUUACCCGCUGAAUUUAAGCAUAUCAAUAAGGGAGGA